GAUCAAUAGGCUCAUUCACUGAUUUAUUUGGUCUGCACUUCUUAUAGAUGCCCCUGAAGGCAACUGAAAGGGAUGUGUAUGAGUUCUUCUCACAAGCAGGAAAGGUGAGGGAUGUGCGGUUAAUCAUGGACCGGAAUUCAAGGCGAUCUAAAGGAGUUGGGUACAUUGAGUUUUAUGAUGCUAUGUCUGUGCCAAUGGCUAUUGCUUUAUCCGGUCGCUUGCUUUUUGGCCAACCAGUCAUGGUA